CAAAAUCCAAACGGACUUCUUAACAAGCAUCUGAAUAUGCUCAGCCAAGAGUAUGCCCUUUCCGUCUUGCAUCUCAUCUUUUCACAGCAUCUGCAAUUUCCUUUGGCCUUUUCUGGACUGCUCUUUCUGUUGUUAUGCCCGAGCCACCUGCUGAAUCAGUAGCUUGGGUUCGUGGAGCGGCCAAAGUAAAGAGACUUGCCCUUCUUGUUGGCAUACUUGUUGGCAUGUUGCCAUUACUGCUGUCUCUGGAGAAUUUGUUGCUGGAAAUGAUGCUGGUCAUGCUUAUAAUACUUUUCCAAAGAUGGGUGAUACAUGGAUACCAGAAGAUGUCCUUGACAUGAAGCCACUAAUUCGAAAUUUCGUUGAGAAUACCUCUACUAUGCAGGUAUUAAUUCUCAGCUGAGACUAUAUUUUAACUUCUUUAACAGUUUAAUUUUGUUGUUUUCUAGAUGGUUGCUUCAACUGCUACGUGCUAAUGCCAUGUUGCCUCUUCAAAUUGGUAAAGAUUGAAAUAAAGAAAAAUUAAGAAUUGAGAAGAAAAUGUUAUGUGAGGUUUUUAUUUGUAGAGCAAAUGUUGCUGAAUGAGAAUAUUAAUAAAUCCUUUGCUCCUCUUCUUUA